AUACGUAGGGAGCAAGCGUUACCCGGAAUUACUGGGCGUAAAGCGCGUGUAGGCGGCUUGGUAAGUCGGGUGUGAAAUCCCGGGGCUCAACCCCGGAACUGCAUUCGAAACUGCCUCGCUAGAGUCCCGGAGAGGAAGGCGGAAUUCCCGGUGUAGAGGUGAAAUUCGUAGAUAUCGGGAGGAACACCAGCGGCGAAGGCGGCCUUCUGGACGGUGACUGACGCUGAGACGCGAAAGCGUGGGGAGCAAACAGGAUUAGAUACCCCGGUAGUCC
rnacentral:rRNA from 1 species